rnacentral:rRNA from 1 species
AUGGCCACCAACUCGAGGUCGAACUCCAGGGCGACCUUCUCCAGCGAGAUCCACGACAUCGGCACGGUGCAGAACUCCGCCACGCCCAGCAUGGUGUACUACACCGAGCGGUCCAUCGCCGACUACUUCCCUCCCCACCUCCUCAAGAAGGUGGUGUCGGAGGUGGUGUCCACGUUCCUGCUGGUGUUCGUGACGUGCGGGGCGGCGGCGAUCAGCGCCCACGACGUCACGCGCAUAUCGCAGCUCGGCCAGUCGGUCGCCGGCGGGCUCAUCGUCGUCGUCAUGAUCUACGCCGUCGGCCACAUCUCCGGCGCGCACAUGAACCCCGCCGUCACCCUCGCCUUCGCCAUAUUCCGCCAUUUCCCCUGGAUUCAGGUCCCGUUCUACUGGGCGGCGCAGUUCACGGGCGCGAUCUGCGCGUCCUUCGUGCUCAAGGCCGUGCUCCACCCCAUCACCGUGAUCGGCACCACCGAGCCGGUCGGGCCGCACUGGCACGCGCUGGUCAUCGAGGUCGUCGUCACCUUCAACAUGAUGUUCGUCACCCUCGCCGUCGCCACGGACACCAGAGCGGUGGGUGAGUUGGCUGGGUUGGCUGUCGGUUCCUCCGUUUGCAUUACCUCCAUCUUCGCAGGGGCGGUGUCAGGUGGAUCGAUGAACCCGGCGAGGACGCUGGGCCCGGCGCUGGCCAGCAACCGCUACCCCGGCCUCUGGCUCUACUUCCUCGGCCCCGUCCUCGGCACGCUCUCCGGGGCCUGGACCUACACCUACAUCCGCUUCGAGGACGCGCCCAAGGACGGCCCCCAGAAGCUCUCCUCCUUCAAGCUCCGCCGGCUGCAGAGCCAGUCCGUCGCCGCCGACGACGACGAGCUCGACCACAUCCCCGUCUGA